UACAGAGGUCUCAAGCGUUGUUCGGAUUCAUUGGGCGUAAAGGGCGCGUAGGCGGCGGGGUCAGUCGGGUGUGAAAUCUUGGGGCUUAACCCCUAAACGGCACUCGAAACUGCCCGGCUGGAGGGCCGAGAGGAGAUCGGAAUUCACGGUGUAGCAGUGAAAUGCGUAGAGAUCGUGAGGAAGACCCGUGGCUAAGGCGGAUCUCUGGACGGCUAACUGACGCUGAGGCGCGAAGGCCAGGGGAGCAAACGGG
rnacentral:rRNA from 1 species